rnacentral:rRNA from 1 species
UAGUCAUAUGCUUGUCUCAAAGAUUAAGCCAUGCAUGUCUAAGAAUAAGCCCUUGAAUGGUGAAUCUGCGAAUGGCUCAUUAAAUCAGUUAUUGUUUAUUUGAUGGUACCUUACUACUUGGAUAACCGUAGUAAUUCUAGAGCUAAUACAUGCGUCAAGCCCCGACUCACGAAGGGGUGCAUUUAUUAGAUUCAAACCAUCGGCUUUCGGGUCUUUGAUGGUGAGUCAUAAUAACUGAGCGAAUCGAAUGGCCUUGCGCCGUCGAUGCCUCAUUCAAAUUUCUGCCCUAUCAGCUUUCGAUGGUAGGAUCUUGGCCUACCAUGGCUAUAACGGGUAACGGGGAAUUAGGGUUCGAUUCCGGAGAGGGAGCUUGAGAAACGGCUACCACAUCCAAGGAUGGCAGCAGGCGCGCAAAUUACCCAAUCCCGACACGGGGAGGUAGUGACAAUAAAUAACGAUGCUGGAUUAUUUUUAAUCCGGCAAUUGGAAUGAGAGUAAUUUAAAUCAAUACUCGAGGAACCAUU